rnacentral:tRNA from 1 species
GGCCAGCUAGCUCAGUUGGUUAGAGCGUGGUGCUAAUAACACCAAGGUCAUGGGUUCAAGCCCCAUGCUGGCCA